AACGAACGCUGGCGGCAUGCCUAACACAUGCAAGUCGAACGAGACCUUCGGGUCUAGUGGCGCACGGGUGCGUAACGCGUGGGGACCUGCCCUUAGGUUCGGAAUAACUCCCCGAAAGGGGUGCUAAUACCGGAUAAUGUCUUCGGACCAAAGAUUUAUCGCCUUUGGAUGGGCCCGCGUUGGAUUAGCUAGUUGUUAGGGUAAAAGCCUACCAAGGCGACGAUCCAUAGCUGGUCUGAGAGGAUGAUCAGCCACACUGGGACUGAGACACGGCCCAGACUCCUACGGGAGGCAGCAGUGGGGAAUAUUGGACAAUGGGCGAAAGCCUGAUCCAGAAAUGCCGCGUGAGUGAUGAAGGCCUUAGGGUUGUAAAGCUCUUUUACCCGGGAUGAUAAUGACAGUACCGGGAGAAUAAGCUCCGGCUAACUCCGUG
rnacentral:rRNA from 1 species